rnacentral:lncRNA from 1 species
AUUCGACACAGGAUAUAUUUGACAGGGUGGGAGACAAAUCUCAGAAAAAAAUACAACAGCAUGAUGCCUUCAGUAUCCCAGUUGUCUAGGAGAUACCCUAGUGUAUUCCUUUUAAAAUGAAGAAAUCUUGUAGCUACAAAUUGCAACACUUGUGAGUUCUUUGUUGCUAGAAGAAGAUGCUUGGUGGUGUGGACUGCUCUGACCAACCAGCUGUCCCAAGGGUCUGAACUUGAUGGCUGCAACAGCAACAAACAAGGAGCAGAGAAGAGACGGAGGGACAUCCAAGGAGUAGACCAAGAAGGGAGGUUAAUUACUUAAUUUUCUAACUCAUUUCUAUGCGGUGUAAGAUUGUUGUCUUCUUGUCAGCUUAUUUAUGUUCAUCCAAUUAAUCUGAUUUCAACUGUCACCAAAUAAAAUGCAGCAUAUGUUUCAAUAUGUGGUACUCAAGCCUACUUUAC